UGGGAGGAGACAAUUAUACAUAGGAAAACAACGCUGCAAAAGACUGCAGACUUCUCAUAGAAUCAAUGAAAGUCAGCAAACAAUGGAACGGCAUCUGAAAAGUGAUGAAAGAAUAAAUCUGUUAACUCCGAAUGGUAUCAGUGAAAAUCUCUCUCAAAAUGGAAAAAUAAAACUAUUUGGGGAUAAAUAAAACAGAGAAUUUGUGGCCAGCAGUCCAAAGACUGUUUUUCUUUUCUUAAAUUCUUUAAAAAUUAAUCCACCUUUUAAAGUAAAAAUAACAAUGCAUUCUGGGAUCUAUAAGACAUACAAAAAUAAAGUAUAUGACCACAAUAACACCAAAGGCCGGAGAAGAUGUGAUGGCAUUACAUAUAUAUAUAUAUAUAUAUUUGUUUAUUUAAUUUAUUUAUUUAUUGAGACGGAGUUUCGCUCUUGUUGCCCAGUGUGGGGUGCAACGGCGCAAUCUUGGCUCAUUGCAACUUCCACCUCCCCGGUUCAAGCAACUCUCCUGCCUCAGCCUCCUGAGUAGCUGGGAUUACAGGCAUGAGCCACCAUGCCCGGCUAAUUUUGUAUUUUUAGUAGAGAUGGGGUUCCUCCAUGUUGGUCAGGCUGGUCUCGAACUCCUGACCUCAGGUGAGCUGCCCGCCUCGACCUCCCAAAGUGCUGGGAUUACAGGCGUGAGCCACUGCGCCCAGCCCUGGCAUUAUAUUUUUGUAACGUUCUUACGUUAUACAUGAAGUGGUGUAAUAUUAUUGGAAAGUAGACUGGAUAUUGAAGAAUGCAUAUUGUAACACUCCAGCAACCAAAAAUAUAAGGAGGCAUAGCUAAAAAGUAAGUAGAGAAGAUGGAAUAAAAUAUUUUAUUAAGUCUCAACCAAAUAGAAGGCAGUAAAGGAGGAACAAAAGAGGGGGGACAAAUAGAUAACAAAUAGCAAGAUGAUAAAACUUAAACCCACCCAUAAUGAUAAGUAUAUUACAUAUGAAAGGACUAGGCACUGCCAUUGAAAGGCAGAUAUUGCCAGACUUGAUUGAAAAGGAUCUUAGCUGAAUUCUUGUCUGUAAAUGGUGAGAAUUAAAUGAGACUGUGAAUCAAAGCACUGAGCACAGUGCCUGGCCCACACAGGAGGCUUCUUCAGUGAAAACUCUGAACAUAUUCUAAUAAGAGUCCUGCUUUCCUUCACGCCUGUCUGUGAGCUCUGUGGGGAGGCCCCAGAGCUGAGCAUUCAUCUAAUCAGCCUUUGUGGACCUCCAACGUCAUGCCAGACAGAUGGGGCCCUUAUCACCUGGCAGUUGCAUGUAGGUUAUAUGUCUACUUUUCAGGAACAGUGAAAUGACCCCUCCUCCUGUGCCUCCUCCAAAGAGGAGUUGGAGAAGGAGCCAGGGCACAAAGAGACAGAUUGUCAAAACCAUGCCUAUGCCGGGCAUGGUGGCUCAUGCCUGUAAUCCUUGCACUUUGGGAGGCUGAGGCAGGCAGAUCACUUGAGGUCAGGAGUUUGAGACCAGCCUAGCUAACAUGAUGAAACCCUAUCUCUACUAAAAAUACAAAAAUUAGCUGGGCAAGGUGGCACGCACAUGUAAUCUCAGCUACUCAGGAGGCUGAGGCAGGAGAAUCGCUUGAACCCAGGAGGUGGAGGUUGCAGGGAGACGAGAUGGUGCCACUUCACUCCAGCCUAGGCGACAGAGCGAGGUUCCAUCUCAAAAACAAAACACGACAAAACAAAACGAAAAACCAUGCCUAGAGCUGAGACAUCCUGAGGCUGGCUGGGGUCAUCGGCUUGUGGUCAGUGUAGCCACCGCAUGUUGGCCCACACCCUCCCCUUCCCUGGAAGCUGAGGCCAGAGUACCCAGCUUUUGGUCAGGGGGCUGUACGUGUGGGGCAAAGGGCAAAGUGGUGUCCAGGACCUGGAGCAGGAAAAGCUUGCAUUAUGCUCUGUGUCAAGCCAGUGGGGGCUACAGGUCCUGGGUUACUACUUGCCAGUUGGUGGUUGUGUGGGCAAGGAAAGGGGGAUCAUGGGUGGGACCCUGAGAGGCACUUCUCAUUCCCCUGUGAGAGGCCCCACAUCUGGCCUCUCCAGACAGACUCCAUGCUGGAUAACAGUUGGGUUCAGAACUUUAAGGAACAAAUUGCUGUUUCCAGCUCAGCUGUUCAGUCCAUUGGGCUCCUCCUCUUCCAAAUCCCCUAUCACUAACCCUCCUGCCGCAUGAGGGUAACCUCUACCCCUAUUUCUAACACCAUGGAGUAGUUUUGCCUGUUUUUGUCCUUUAUAUAUGUGAACUAUUUUGCACAUUAAGGUUGUAGAUUCAUCUAUAUUGUUGUGUACGGUUUGUUUAUUCUUAAAGCUGAUCAAUCAUCCCCUGUAUGAAUGAAUAGUCUAUAAUUUCUCUCUGUUCUAAAGCCGGAGGAUAUUCAGAUUCUUUCCAGUUUAGGGCUAUCCUGAAUAGUGUUGGUGUGAAUAUUCCAGGUUAUGUCUUUCUUUCUUCCUUUUUUUUUAAUUGAGACAAGAUCUUGCUCUGUCACCCAGGCUGGAGUGCAGUGGCGAGAUCACAAUUCACUGUAGCCUCCACCUUCCGGGUUCAAUCAAUCUGCAUGCCUUGGCCUCCUGAGUAGCUGGGACUACAGGCAUAUACCAUCAUGCCUGGCUACUUUUUAGUAGAGACGAGGUUUUGCCUUGUUGCCUAGGCUGCUCUCGAACUUCUGGGCUCAAGCAAUCCUCCCUCCUUGGCCUCCCGAUGUGCUGGGAUUACAGGCAUGAACCACCUCACCUGGCACAGGUUACAUCUUUUGAUGAACACGUGGAUGCAUUUCUUUUGCCUGUAUGCCCAGGAGUGGAAAUGCUUGGUCAGAGGGCAGGGUGUGUUCAACACAAUUAAACCUUACGGAUGCUUUCGUGGUGGUUAUACUAAUUUAGAUUCCCAUCAGCAAUGUCUGAGAGUUCUGGUUGCUCCAUAUCCUCAUCAGCACUUGGUAUUGCCAGUCUUUUUCACUUAAACUUCUCUGGUGUCUGAAGCGGUAGCUCACUGUGGUUUUGUAUUCUCCUUGCUAUUGUCCGAAUGUUUGAGUUUCUCCCAAAAACUCAUACGUUAAGACUUAAUCGGCUGGGUGCAGUGGCUCAUGCCUGUAAUCCCAGCAUUUUGGGAGGACGAAGUGGGCGGAUCAUGAGGUCAGGAGUUCGAGACCAGCCUGACCAACAUGGUGAAACCCUGUCUCUACUAAAAAUAUGAAAAUUAGCCGGGCAUGGUGGCACACGCCUGUAAUCCCAGCCACUUGGGAGGCUGAGACAGGAUAAUCACUUCAGCCCGGGAGGCAGAGGUUGCAGUGAACCAAGAUUACGCCACUGCACUCCAGCCUAGGCAACAGAGUGAGAGUCCAUCUCAACAACAACAACAACAAAAAGACCUAAUCACCAAGGUGAUGGUGUUAGAAGGUGUUAGAAGAUGGGGAUCUUUGAAAGGUGAUUAGGUCAUGAGGGCUCUAUCCUUGUGAAUUGGAUAACUGCCCUUAUAAAAGAGGCCCCAGAGAACUGUCUUCCCCCUUCCACCAUGUGAGGAUACAGCAAGAAGGUGCCAUGUUUGAAGCAGGGAACGGGCUCAGGCACCGGAUCUACUGCUGCCUUGAUCUUGGACUUCCCAGCCUCCAGAACUGUGAGCAAUAAAUUCCGUUGUUUAUAAAUUUCCCAGUCUAAGGUAUUUUGUUACAGUAUCCUGAACUGACCAAGCCACCCCCAUGAGUCAUGAAGCUAGCAGCUUUUCGUGUAUUUGUUGGCCUCCUAAGUACUCUUGUUAUGAAGUACUUUAAUGCAAGCCCUCCCCCAUUUUUCUCUUGAAUUGUCUGCCUUUUUCUUUUUGGUUUGUAGGAGUUCUUCAUAUAUAGUGGGAAAAAAUCAUUUGGGAUGUGUGUGUGUGCGCACACGCAAAUGCAUGCAUGCACGUGUUUAAAAGGCCAAUAUUCUCUGUCCCACAAAUUCAGAACACCACAGUGGUUGGGCCAUAAUUGCACUGUGGGUGGUGGCAGGGUUUCAGACAAAAGGCAUAAUAACAUGUCACAUAAAAUUAAUCUGAUUUGAAUCGAUUUUGUACGUGAUGGGUCAAUUUGUCUUGGUCUGAUGCUUGUAUAAGAGCUACAAGGAGUUUAUAUCUCAUUUUAUGCUUGCACAUGUUUAAGUAAUACACAAUAAAAAUCAUUUAAGGCAACAGUGAGGGCCCAGGAGAUGCCCUUCUUCUCUAGGUAAGCAGGAGAUUCUCAAAACACAAAUCCAAUCUGUGACUCCCCUGCUUAAUGCAUCUCAAAAGAUCCUUUUUUUGUCUAGGAUGGAGAUGAGACUCCUUCCCCUGGUAGGCGGCCUCCUCGGACCUGCUCCCCUGCACUGUUCACUGAAGCCGCCGCCUCCUUCUGGGCAUGGUCUCUCCAUGUCUUCUCUCUCCACAUAAGCCCCCAGCCCCUGUUUUGGAGCAGCUGCUGCCCUGACCACCCCUUUUGCUUAGACUUAGCUCAAUCAUCCCUUCUCUGGGAAGCUCCCACUGUGGCCUCUGAAACCACCAUCCCAGCUGGGCACUUUGCUUCCUUUUUUUUUUUUUUUUUUGAGACAGAGUCUCGCUCUGUCGCCCAGGCUGGAGUGCAGUGGCGCCAUCUCGGCUCACUGCAACCUGUGCUCCUGGGUUCACGCCAUCCUCCUGCCUCAGCCUCCCGAGUAGCUGGAACUACAGACGCCCGCCACCACGCCCAGCUAAUUUUUUUGUAUUUUUAGUAGAGACAGGGUUUCACCGUGUUAGCCAGGAUGGUCUCAAUCUCCUGACCUCAUGAUCCGCCCGUCUCGGCCUCCCAAAGUGCUGGGAUUACAGGCGUGAGCCACCACGUCCGGCCUUUGCUUCUUUGCAUAAUCUCAGCUGAGAUUUAUAAUUUACUUGUGGGAUUCUCCCCUCUCAAACUAUAAGUUCUGUGAAGACAGAGAUGGUAUUUUUUUCUCCUCACUUUAUUUAUUUAUUUGAGACAGAGUCUCACUAUGUUGCCCAGGCUGGAGUGCAGAGGUGCAAUCUCGGCCCACUGCACGCUCCACCUCCUGAGUUCAAGUGAUUCUCCUGCUCAGCCUCCUGAGUAGCUGGGACUACAGAUAUGCACCACCAUGCCUGGCUAAUAUUUGUAUUUUUAGUAGAGACGGGGUUUUGCCAUGUUGGCCAGGCUGGUCUCAAACUCCUGACCUCAGGUAAUCCACCUGCCUCUGCCCCUCAAAGUGCUGGAAUUACAGUCACGAGCCACUGCGCCCGGCCUUCUCCUCACCUUUUUCUCCAGUGUCCACUCCAGCAUGCAGUAUUUGAUAAGCGCUCAGUAAAUGUUUGUUGAAUGACUUACUAACCUGAGCUUGUGUUAACUCUCUCACUGUAUUGAUUCUGAAAGGCAAAGAGGGCCCAAGGUCACAUGUAGGGAAGGGCCAAAGGCAGGACUGGAGCCCAGCAAUUCUUGUUCAACCACACGGAAUGGGAAGUAAAGUCCUCUUUGGCCAGCAGCAGAGGGGCCAGGUCCCCCUUGUCAUCAGCCUGGAAGACCCUAAAGGAUCAUCUAGGACAAUUCUUUCAUUCUUUGAAUGGGGCAUCUAAAACUGAAGAGUGGACAGGGAUUGUCUAGAGUCAUACGGUGAAGGUGAUCCGGAAGUUCCGCUAGAGAACACAGCAGAUUCUAUCCUGUAGAAACACAAUGGGUUCUACCCAGAUUGCCUGACACUCAAUAUUCUUUUUUAAUUAAACUAAAUUAAUUAACUACUUUUUGAGUGCAGUGUUGUGAUCUCAGCUCACUGCAACCUCCACCUCUCAGGUUCAAACAAUUCUCCUGCCUCAGCCUCCCGAGCUGCUGGGAUUACAGGUGUGUGCCACCACGCCCAGCUAAUUUUUGUAUUUUUAGUAGAGUCAGGGUUUCGUCGCGUUGGCCAGGCUGGUCUUGAACUCUUGGCCUCAAGCAAUCCACCUGCCUCAGCCUCCCAAAGGGCUGGGAUUUCAGGCGUGAGCCACUGAGAGGGGCUCUGACACUCAACAUUCUUUCCAGUAUCCCCAACUCUCCUGGAGGUGAAGGACUAAGGGGGUGGGGGCAUGGCUCUCAGACUCCAGACUGACAACCUAAUAUUGAGGCUGGGCUGGGAGUGGAACCGAGAUUUCCCAGCCUGAGGCCAAUGGAUGACAAGGGCCUUUCUUGUUCUCCUCCAGAGCCUCUUCUGGAGCCCCACUAGGGAAUUCCUGUCCUUGGAAAAGUGGGAGAGGACCAGAACAUUCUGGAAUAAAGACUGGAGACAUUCAGAGUGACGCAAGAAGUACAGUCCACAGUGGAGGAAAACUCCAGCUGCCAGGCAAUUGCCCGCUGGUCCCUGGCCUGGUCUAGGUGGUUGUGGGGGAAGGGGAGCUAACUGCAGUGACUCACUUAACCCUUUCCGGGCAGAGGAAGAUAACGCUUUUUAAUUGAAGAAAUUUUUUAAUUAAAAAACAUUUUUUUGACGGCUUCUUGUUGAGCAGGGCUACCCCACAGGCCAUGUGCCUAGAGUGGCCUUAAUUGAAAUUUUUGUUACAAUCAUUGUAGAUUCCUGUACAGUUAUAAGAAAUAAAACAGCCGGGCGUGGUGGCUCAUGCCUGUAAUCCCAGCACUAUGGGAGGCCGAGACGGGCGGAUGACGAGGUCAGGAGAUUGAGACCAUCCUGGCUAACACGGUGAAGCCCCGCCUCUACUAAAAAUACAAAAAAUUAGACGGGCGAGGUGGCGGGCGCCUGUAGUCCCAGCUACUCGGGAGGCUGAGGCAGGAGAAUGGUGUGAACCCAGGAGGCGGAGCUUGCAGUGAGCCAAUAUCGUGCCACUGCACUCCAGCCUGGGCGACAGAGCGUCUCCAAAAAAAAAAAAAAAAAAAGAAGAAAUAAAACAGAGAGGCUGGGCACAGUGGCUCACGCGUGUAAUCCCAGCACUUUGGGAGGCCGAGGCAGGUGGAUCACCCAGCCUGGGCAACAAGAGGGAAACUUCAUCUCAAAAUAACAACAACAACAAAAAAGAAAACAGAGGGAUCCCAGGUACCCGCCUUCACUCAGUUUCCCCAAUGGUAACAUCUCGCAGAACUACUGGGCGCCAUCACAGCCGGGGUCUGACUGCUCUUGCUCAGGUUUCCCCGGUUUUCCGUAUCCUCACGUGUGUGUAUUUACUUCUGUGCAAUUUUAUCGCAGGCCAAGGCAGGCGUGAGCCACUGCACCUGGCCCCAUCUUUCUACAACUGGGAAAAUUCUGAGUUCU
rnacentral:lncRNA from 1 species